AAUAUUAAUACUACCAUAAUAAAUGAUAUUGCUACUAUAAGAAUUUAUAUUAUAAUAAUGGUAGCCUAAUUAAAAAUCAUGAUAUAGAUUUUAAAAAAACAAUAAAGUAAAUUCUUAUCUUGUUUUGAUGUUAUCUUUUUGACUUGGCUUCCAGAUGCCCCUAGUGUUCAUAUGAAGUCUGAUUCUGUGUAUGUGAACUUGGGAGACACACUGACUUAUGCCAACCCCAUCACCUACAGUAUGUUUUUCUGGACGUGGAUGGGAUGAUCUGGGAGAGCAGAGUGAAGAUGAAGGCACUGGUUUGUUAAAGGACCACCCCUGAUCUGAAGCUGCUCCGUGUCGACCAUAACUCGGUUACUCUGGAAAGGAUGCCCGGAUUUGAUGGUGGUUUGACACAAAACUUCCGUGUCAGGUACCAGUGGGCGGGAUCAGUGAGAUUCAUGCAUGUGGACGUGUUUCCUCCGACAGCCACUGUGUAUACCGUCAUGGGCCUUGACCCUUCCACUACCUCCAACUUUUUUCAGUCAACACUAUCAAAACGAUGUGAGAGAGCAGCUAUACAGACAACAACAAAAUACUGACAGUCACUACUGCUGGUACAUUCAGCUCAGCCUGGGCCUGUAUAAUAAAGCUUACGACACAUAAACUAAAUUAUUCGUCAUUCGGUUUCCGACCAUGGUGGUUUACUUGUAGAUUUAGACACCGGCUUUACUUUCCACUGAUUUGAUGAGCCAUUCAUCAAUCCCACCAAUCACAUCUCAUUUGUAAGGCAAAGAUCACGGCUGAGCCUCAUGCAAAUAAGCCGAAUGGCUGAAUGUCUACACCAAUCAGUGCACCAGUGUGUUUUCUGAAUGCGUAUUUCAGUCUGCAUCUUAUCGGGAUUGCGAGCUAGAGGGAGAAAAAUCGAGCGAUAGAGGGAGAGAGACAGAAAACAAAACCGUGUGAUGUAUGAUAAAUGAUGAUAAGCUACAUUCCCUCUGCAAACAUAAUGAAUUCUGCAAUUGUAAUGUCAUAGCAUUUGAUUUGCAAAACAAAUUAGU